GUGUCAGCCGCCGCGGUAAUACGAGGGAUGCAAGCGUUAUCCGGAUUCACUGGGUUUAAAGGGUGUGCAGGCGGAUCAAUAAGUCAGUGGUGAAAUCCCUCCGCUCAACGGGGGAACUGCCAUCGAUACUGUUGAUCUUGAGUGUAGUUGAGGCGUGUGGAAUAUGACAUGUAGCGGUGAAAUGCGUAGAUAUGUCAUAGAACACCGAUCGCGAAGGCAGCCCGCCAAACUACUACUGACGCUGAAACACGAAAGUGUGGGGAUCAAACAGGAUUAGAUACCCUGGUAGUCCACACCGUAAACGAUGAUCACUCGCUGUUGGCGACAUACUGUCAGCGGCUAAGUAAAAGCAUUAAGUGAUCCACCUGGGGAGUACGACCGCAAGGUUGAAACUCAAAUGAAUUGACGG
rnacentral:rRNA from 1 species